UUCAAACUGUGUUUCAAGCUCCAUUCAGAGUUACUUUUCUCCCUGGCACGAGAUCAAACACGAGGGUUCUUCCUCUCUCCCUGGCACAAGGAUUCAGAGUUACUUUUCGAGCUCCAUUCAGAGAUCAAACACGAGCUUCUUCCUCUCUCCAUGGCACGAGUUACGUUUUUCUCCGUGGCUGCUACUUCUGCUUCUUCCGCCGUGGCCGUUGUCGCUGCCGCCGCUGCUUGCAUCGCACAAUCUCUCUGUCAUCCCUUGCGUCCUACAAGAUCCCCCGCCGCCGCUCUCGUCGCGGAGCUUUCUCUGCCGACGCUCUCAUCGCAUCUGCUCCCUCUGGCACCUCUUCCAUCUAAUCUCAACUCGCUCUCUCAGUUCUUCUUGUAACCAUCUCAAAUUUCAGUGUUACAGCUCAAGAUCUUGUUGACACUAUGCUUCUAAAUUUGCUUCUAAAUUUCUGAUAUCUUCACUCUUAACGAUGGAUCUGUAACGCCUCUACUCAAGAGCAUGACAGUGCAUAAUAUGUAUGUUGGAGAGGGUUCAGACUUCCAAUAUAAUAUAUAAAAGGGUGGCUGAGCAGUGGGGUUCUCUUGGUGACUUGACUGUGUCUGUUACAUCGAUUCGAUUCGAUUGAUACAGAAGGAAUACUCAGGAUCUGCUAGAACUGGCGAUGGAUCUGUUAGACAAGAUCAAGUUGGUCUAGCGGGUCAAAAUACUCAGCUUGUUCAUCAGGGUUCACUGAAUUAUAUUAGUUCCU